UCAUAAAAAUCGCUGAAUCCCAUGAUGGGAGCGGGGGAACCACCUAUUCCGGGGUGAAUCCCGGGCAAACCGUUUGUCCGGGUAGGGUGACUCUCAACACCCGAAUCCGUCAGCUAACCUCGCAAGCGUUCUGAGAGGAGGA
rnacentral:sRNA from 2 species